rnacentral:rRNA from 1 species
UACGUAGGGGGCAAGCGUUGUCCGGAAUCAUUGGGCGUAAAGCGCGCGUAGGCGGCCCGGUAAGUCCGCUCUGAAAGUCCAGGGCUCAACCCUGGAAAGCGGGUGGAUACUGUCGUGCUAGAGUACGGAAGAGGCAAGUGGAAUUCCUGGUGUAGCGGUGGAAUGCGCAGAUAUCAGGAGGAACACCUAUAGCGAAGGCAGCUUGCUGGGACGUUACUGACGCUAAGGCGCGAAAGCGUGGGGAGCGAACAGG